GCGGAUCGACGCACUCGUCAUGGGUUACAAGAUCACACCUCGGCCUGCUUUACUUGCUUACAGGACGAAGACACUGUUGACCACAUCUUGGUGCAAUGUGGCUACGCGCGAGCCACUUGGAUGGGUUGUUUCGACAAGUUAGGUAUCCAGAUCUCUUGCCCAGUGAGUACGGACUCCUUUGUGGAAUGGUGGAUGUCGCAGCGAUUGGUUUUUGCGAAGGAAGAUAAGCGUGGGUUCGACACCAUGGUCAUUUGCACGACAUGGUCACUUUGGAAGCAAAGGAACGCCAGGGUGUUCAACAGAGCGGAGCAACAAGUGGACGCACAAGAACUCGUGAAGAAGAUCCUUGAGGAGCUCAAAGAGUGGAAGAUGGCGAUUCAGGGAGGUGGUAGCUUGCAACGUUUUGUGAGGGAUUAG
rnacentral:rRNA from 1 species